rnacentral:rRNA from 1 species
UACGGAAGGCAGCAGUGGGGAAUAUUGCACAAUGGGCGCAAGCCUGAUGCAGCCAUGCCGCGUGUAUGAAGAAGGCCUUCGGGUUGUAAAGUACUUUCAGUCGUGAGGAAGAUGUUAAGGUUAAUAACCUUAGCAAUUGACGUUAGCGACAGAAGAAGCACCGGCUAACUCCGUGCCAGCAGCCGCGGUAAUACGGAGGGUGCGAGCGUUAAUCGGAAUUACUGGGCGUAAAGGGCACGCAGGCGGUUAAUUAAGUUGGAUGUGAAAUCCCCGGGCUUAACCUGGGAAUGGCAUUCAAGACUGGUUAGCUAGAGUCUUGUAGAGGGGGUAGAAUUCCAUGUGUAGCGGUGAAAUGCGUAGAGAUGUGGAGGAAUACCGGUGGCGAAGGCGGCCCCUGGGACAAAGACUGACGCUCAUGUGCGAAAGCGUGGGGAGCGAAACAGGAUUUAGAUACC